CUCUGGCGCUGGACAAAGAGCUUGAUCACCAGGGCAAAGGAG
rnacentral:ncRNA from 1 species